rnacentral:misc_RNA from 1 species
GAUGAAGAACGUAGCGAAAUGCGAUAAGUAAUGUGAAUUGCAGAAUUCAGUGAAUCAUCGAAUCUUUGAACGCACAUUGCGCCCGCUAGUAUUCUGGCGGGCAUGCCUGUUCGAGCGUCAUUUCAACCAUCAAGCCCUGUUUAGGCUUGUGUUGGGGCCCUGCGGUUGCCGCAGCCCCCUAAAUGCAAUGGCGGGCUCGUUGUCACUCCGAGCGCAGUAGCGUAUCUCGCUCUGGGCGUGGCGGCGGGUGCUAGCCGUGAAACACCCACUAAGGUUGACCUCGGAUCAGGUAGGAAUACCCGCUGAACUUAAGCAUAUCAAUAAGCGGAGGA